CCUACGGGGCGUAGCAGUGGGGAAUAUUGCACAAUGGGGGAAACCCUGAUCCAGCGACGCAGCGUGAGUGAAGAAGUAUUUCGGUAUGUAAAGCUCUAUCAGCAGGGGAAAAAAUGACGGUACCUGAUUAAGAAGCCCCGGCUAAAUACGUGCCAGCAGCCGCGGUAAUACGUAGGGGGCAGGCGUUAUCCGGAUUUACUGGGUGUAAAGGGAGAGUAGACGGGAGCACAAGUCUGGAGUGAAAUGCCGGGGCUUAACCCGGGAACUGCUGUUGAAACUGUGCAGCUAGAGUGCAGGAGAGGUAAGUGGAAUUCGUGGUGUAGCGGUGAAAUGCGUAGAUAUUAGGAGGAACACCAGUGGCGAAGGCGGCUUACUGGACUGUAACUGACGUUGAGGCUCGAAAGCGUGGGGAGCAAACAGGAUUAGAUACCCUAGUAGUC
rnacentral:rRNA from 1 species